UUCAUAUGGCUCUCUCUCUCUCUCUCUCUCUCUCUCUCUCUCUCUCUCUCUCUCUCUUUGUGUGUUAUAUAUAUAUUGUUUUUCAAGAAGCUGCUAAAUUUUCUUCAAAUGUCAAUUAUAUCAUCUAAUAGCCUUUUCUUUGUGAUCUUCCCACAUUCUCUCACUCUCUCUCUCUCUUAUAUAUACAUAUAUAUAUAUAUAUACAUUGUUUUUCAAGGAGCUGUUAAAUAUUCUUUCAAUAUCGAUUAAAUCAUCUAAUUGUCUUUCCUUAGUAUCAUUUUCAUAUUGCUCUCUCUCUCUCUCACACACACUCUCUCUCUCUCUCUCACACACACUCUCUCUCUCAUCUAUUAAAU
rnacentral:lncRNA from 1 species